AAAGCGGCCUCACUUGGCGGCUGCCGGGACACGUGACGGCCGGGGUCGCUGCCGCGCGCCGGGCGGGAAAGGUGGGGCGGAGCGGCUCCGACCCGAGUCGGGGGCUGCCUGUGGACGCGGACGGGGUCUGGAGUUCUGUGACCAGAUUUUCUGAACUCCAACUCAUGACAGGUGAAAAAAGAAUUUUUCUGGCUGUUGCAGUUUAACCAUACUUAGAUUCUUCUGAUUCUCAAGUGUUACUCCAAAUAAGAUUGUUUGGAAAUAUCUCCUCAAAAUAUACAUGUUCUUCUGAAAGGGAUACCAGAAAACACCAUUUUCCAAGCUUGGUACAUAAUCAAAUGAAUGGUUAUAUUUGCCUUACUAUAAAUUCUUCAUAAAAUAUUGAGGACCUAUGCCAGCUCUAAGUUAGCUCCCUGAGACUGGAGUGAAGACUUUCUGCCCAUCUAUUUGCCUUGAUUAGUAUACUUAUUGGACCCAACCAUCACAUACAACAAAACAUAACUAAUAUGUGUUAGGUAAAAUUGUUCAACAUCAUCAUUUUCAUUUGGUUCAACCAAAUAUACUAGUUAAAGGACAACACAUCAAUCUUAUCCAGAACCUUAUGAGAUUUUUCCAGCCUAACACCUUCAUGUGAUAAAUGGGGAAAUGAAGGCCUAGAGACUUCAAAGGACUUCCUCAAGGUGUGACUGGGUAUCCGUAAUAUCACAGCUUCUGCCUCUCAUCUGAGAUAUAUGGUCUGGGCUAGCCACAGGACUGGCUUCGGUAACUGGUUUCUUAGUCUACAUGCCCACACAUCCAGUGACUGCAGCUCUCCUGGUGGGGUGAGGGACAUUUCCUACCAUCUUAAUGAGAUUUGUGGUAGCUCUCUUCUAAGUUUUCGCCUUAGCAGAGGCCAUCUGUUCAGCCUCCAGUCUCCCAUUCCUAGAAACCCUGGCCCCUAUAUCAUGGUCCCUCGUACCUGGAUCACAAAUGGCUCUCAGAGAACUUGGGUCCAUGACAUCUCUUGACAGGACACAGGCACAUUCAGACACUGAUUCUCAUAAACUCUGAAGCAUUGGUAGACUGUACUUAAUGCUAAGUAAGUUUUGAGUAUUGUAACUAUUUUGAAUUGAAAGCUAGGGAAAACAGUGGGAAAAUUUUGUGUCCCUAAAUUUUGAAAUUAAUUCAAAUUAUGAAAAUAAGUACUAAAAAUCUGAAGUGUCCUUAAAAAUCCAGAAAAUAUGUAAUUAGAGAGCAGUGUGAGGUAAAGGGAUUAAUAAGUAAAUUGGUAGUUAUAAAAUAGUCAUGGAGAGAAAGAAAAAGGAGAGAGGAGAACCAAGAUGGCGGCAUAGGUUAACGCCGGAGUUUGCUGCCUCGAACAACCACUUCAAAAGUGAAACUAA